ACGCUAGCUACAGGCUUAACACAUGCAAGUCGAGGGGAAACGACAUCGAAAGCUUGCUUUUGAUGGGCGUCGACCGGCGCACGGGUGAGUAACGCGUAUCCAACCUGCCCAUCACUUGGGGAUAACCUUGCGAAAGUAAGACUAAUACCCAAUGAUAUCUCUAGAAGACAUCUGAAAGAGAUUAAAGAUUUAUCGGUGAUGGAUGGGGAUGCGUCUGAUUAGCUUGUUGGCGGGGUAACGGCCCACCAAGGCGACGAUCAGUAGGGGUUCUGAGAGGAAGGUCCCCCACAUUGGAACUGAGACACGGUCCAAACUCCUACGGGAGGCAGCAGUGAGGAAUAUUGGUCAAUGGGCGAGAGCCUGAACCAGCCAAGUAGCGUGCAGGAUGACGGCCCUAUGUGUUGUAAACUGCUUUUAUAAGGGAAUAAAGUGAGUCUCGUGAGACUUUUUGCAUGUACCUUAUGAAUAAGGACCGGCUAAUUCCGUGCCAGCAGCCGCGGUAAUACGGAAGGUCCGGGCGUUAUCCGGAUUUAUUGGGUUUAAAGGGAGCGUAGGCCGGAGAUUAAGCGUGUUGUGAAAUGUAGACGCUCAACGUCUGCACUGCAGCGCGAACUGGUUUCCUUGAGUACGCACAAAGUGGGCGGAAUUCGUGGUGUAGCGGUGAAAUGCUUAGAUAUCACGAAGAACUCCGAUUGCGAAGGCAGCUCACUGGAGCGCAACUGACGCUGAAGCUCGAAAGUGCGGGUAUCGAACAGGAUUAGAUACCCUGGUAGUCCGCACGGUAAACGAUGGAUGCCCGCUGUUGGUCUGAAUAGGUCAGCGGCC
rnacentral:rRNA from 1 species